AAGCAAUUUGUAACUUUCAGUAGCUCUCUAGGCCUGGGUACCGAAGGGAGGGAGGCGGGCGGAGGUGGGGAAAUGGGUGCCCCCCAGUCCUUCCACCCUCCUCAUUCGUUCAGGGCAGCGGGAUCCCCGAAUCCUCCUUUCCCCCAACACACAGGCACUCGCAGAGUCCCGCACCCACUUCUGUCCGGCAGCCGCUGCUCCAGAGCAAGAGAACCUCCGAGCUGGACAAUCCAUCUCCCGGCUGCCAGGUGUGGCCAGAGGGGGAUGUGAGCCAAGUAAUGUCAUCAGAGCCUUAAGACGUUGGAAUCUUAGUUCCCCAACCAGGGAUUGAACCCGGGCCACGGCAGUGAAAGCACCAAGUCCUAAGCACUGGACUGCCAGGGGCUCCAACCGGGAAUACCACAGACGGUUUGCCAUGGAUCAAGACUCCUCUGGAGAAAGCUCACAGGAAGGCUGCUGUGAGAAAUGAAGUCCCUUGCUGUUUCCCCGAUUUCCUCAUCAAGAGGCGCCAAAUGAAGUCACUGCACGUUUGAACGGGGGCCAUCAAAGCGCGGCCUCUGACCAGUUCAGAGGCAGACGUGGGCUUGGGCAGCCGGUGACUGAACGGCGGCGGCAUGGAAAAUCUGAGGGGCUCCCCAUUGGAAGAGAGAGGCUUUGGACCAAGGAAUGGGGGACAACUCUCUAUGGAUGGUUUUCACUGAGGGAUGAGGAAUCACCGCCUGUAGCUCCCUGGAAAGCAGAAUCAAGAGGUGGUGCAGGUCAGGGAGAUCAGCUCGGUGCUUUGU